UUUUUUUUUUAAAAACCGGUUCUCUCUUCUCUCUUUACCCACCCAACUUCUUCCCUCAUGAUUUGCGGAACUCUCUUCUAAAACUCUCUUUGUCUCUCGACACUCUCUCUUUAGCACUGACGGAGAACCCUCACUCUCACCACAAAUCCAACACCAAAACCAUAUAUAUCUAGAAUCCUUGGGACCUGGGGAACUCAGGUGUAACCUUGCAUGCAUUAUUAGAACACCUCUGUGUGUUCUGCCAUUGAAGCCGAGAGCUUCAAAUCUCUGAAACUCGAACUCAGAAAUUGACGGGUGUGUUCGAAGGAAAUCCGUCGAAUCCGAAGUGGAUUCGAUUCCCCCCGCCCCCAAUUGUACCUAAAUAUGUUUUAGUUUUCGGCAAGCUUCUCCGACGGAACUCCGACGAGUUCCUCAUCUGAGGUAAUGUCCUAAAACCCUUAUAUGUUAGUUUCGAGUUGAGAUUCGAAGGUUUUAACCCUGGGAAACUCCCUAGCUCCGGCAAGAAAAUUUGGCGAGUCUUGUCGAAUCCGAAGAGGAUUUGACUCGAUUUCGUCUGUGUUGAUGCUCUGAUGAAUUACCUCAAUUUCUGGUGAAGUUCUAAUACAAAGUCAUGUGCCUGUUCCAUUGUUUGAAUACCUUUGCAAUGGACUUAUGUGCCUACAUAAAUGAAUUAGCAUUGAUUUACGGUUUGUGAUUUAAUAUUGAGAUACCUUCUUGUUGUGCCCUACAUUUUUGACUCACUUUUGCUGCAGGGUACCUAUUACAUACUACUAUGGUAAUAUUUUUGGGAAACCAUAUACUUGGUUUGCAGGGGUUACAUUUUUUGAAAAGGUUUUAGAAAACUUUACUCACCCUUGUUUUUUGCCCAUUCAUGAUUUUAGUGGCAGAGGUUUCAUGACAAUGAGGAUUGUUGGUAAAGCUAUUACGUACGAGACUUCUCUUUUCGGUAUAAAUAUCUAUACUCUUUUUUUUUAUUGCAAUUUAUCUAUGCUCUGACAUCACUUAUGUGAUAUGGGUUAUAUCUCCGCUCACAUGCGCACUCUAAUUUAGUCACUUCCAAGUCUUGGCUAGCACAUCGCGAUUCGGAUGUCCAGGUGGACAUUCCGAGUCGGGGUGUGUCAUAGCCAAACUUCCCAUUCCAUAGUGUAAAAAUAUAUCAUUGUACUAAAAAACAGACAUCGGUAAUUAUUUAAGCUUGCUUUUGCUUCCCAAAAUAUAUGCCUUAUUUAGGCCAUAAGUUUGUGUUAUUUAAGCCUUUCUAAUAUACUUAUGGAUUUUAAGCUACAAGUCUGUGUUAUCAGCUCAGUCUGGGUUACAAUGUAAUAGGCUUAAAUUAAUUCAUAGGAGGGCUUUUUUUCUUUCUUCCCAAAUACUUGCGUGUGAUUCCCCCAAGAAACCAUACUACCCAAUAUUUAUUUAAGCCUGUUAUUUCAAAUAAUUUUCACCUUGAGGUGUAUGAUUUUUAGCAAAUAAUUGAGCUGUAUGAUUCUCAGAGAGGGUUUACUCCCAAGUCAAUUUAAUUUAUAAAAUUAAAAAUAAGUACUAUAAGAUGUGAAGAUGCAUAAAAAAUGUGGGGUGCAAGUGUUGUGGAAAAUAUACGGUGUAUGUUGAAAAUGUAGGGGUGUGAUGGUAUUAUAGAAAAAUAUGUGAGGUUUAUUAAGAUUAAGUAUAUGAGAUUUAUUCAACAAUAUGUGAUGAUGAAUGUAAUAAGCCUUUUUCUUAAGGGCACAUUUUUAUCAUCCAUAAUAAGUAUUUUCCUUAUAUCCAAAUAUAUUUUAUGGCUUCUUCUUUGGUUUCCCAAUUGGAGAAAUUGGGAUGCAAAAUUGGGAUGCAAUUAAGGUGGUAUUUCAAAAAAAUUAGUAUUGUUAUACUAAAAAGUUAAAAUGCAUGAAAGUGUAUUUGCAUACUAUACCCUUAUUUUAAGAGGCAAUAUAUAAGUAAACUUAUUUACUGUCAAUUUGGUAAUGACCAUGGUAAUCUCCUUAGUUAAAUAAUAUGUAGAAAAUGAUUAACUGGAAUGCUCAUUCAUUAACUCAACGUAUAAGUAGUUUCAAGUGUAAAAUGAUGUUCAUAAUACAAAUAAUAUCACAAUUCUUCAAAAUAUAUCAACUAAUAUUAACAAGUGAACAAUGUUGAUCAAAAUAGGAAGUAGAAGAUCACUAGGACUAGAUUAAUGUAUGAUUUUGUACCUUGUGUAAUAUAUUACGAUAUCAAAUAAUGUAAAGGCUUGCUACAAAAAAAAAAUGUAAGGGAAAAACAGACGGCUUGGCAUAGCUGCUUGUUAAAUACUUAGAUAAUGGUAUCAAAUGAUUCUAUUUCAACAUGUAUUAUCAUAUUCUUGAGCCUGUAGAGGAGCUCAGCUCGGCUUCAACCCCUUGUUUUAUUGUUAUUGUCCGUCUGCAUGCUUGGUUUUGCUUGGCUUGCUUUCAUUUCCCUAUAUAACUGUCCCUCAACCUCACUUUAUCUCAGCUCAUUUUUCUUUCACUCUCAUAUCUAAUCACCCACACCUGUAUCUCUCACACCCAGUGAUCUACAUAGCCAAAAUUGAACUCAAAAUUGUUUUUUCUAAUACAAAUUGGGUGGUAGAAAGUAGGGAGAGUGGUUAUGCAGCUAAGGAAUGAUGUUGUUCCUCUAUUUGUUGAGAACUUUCAUGCAUUUUGCACAAAAGAGAAAAGGGUGUGAGCUUUUGGUUAUCCGCUUGAUUAUAAGGGAAUGCAAGUUACAAAAAUGGUUAGGGGAGGCAGUUGGGGGAGGGGACAUUCAUUAUGGUGCAGAGCCUUGAGGGAAAACAUCUAUAUCAAAGGGGUUUCCCAUAUACCAUCAGUUAUCCCAAAAAAAAAAAAACAGCAAAUAAAUAUAAGCACUUCAAUAUCAAUGAUAUGAUACUUAAGCCAAUAUAUGGAUUAUCCCAAAUGUGUCAUCCGUCUUCCUCACACCAAAUGGUCACUGUCCAUGUGCCGUGAUGAAUAAGAUAAGUUCCCUCUCCAAGUUUUUUAUUACAUUCAAUGACAUACUUGAAUAUGAUAAUUCGUUUAUUGUUAUUGGUAAGGUAAUCGAAGACAAUGAUGAAAUUUUGGAUGCUAUAGAGUUAUAUGGUUCACUUCAAGGAAAAGUGAGCAAAGAUAUUACAAUCAUCUACUGAAGGGUAGUUAAGGAUGGCGAUAAUAGAGUGGCUUCAACCUUGGCAUGAGGUUUUCUGUGUUUUUUAUAAUUGCUUCUUUCUCUGCUUUCUUUUGGUGCUUAAUUUUUUGUGUUUUUUUUUCUUUCGGUAUUUUGUCUUUUCUUUCCUUUAUGCCGUUGUAAAGUAUGCUGUUGCUUGAAUUUUAUAUAGUAAAAUAAUAAGUUAAAAAUUAAGAACAUCAUAAAAUCAUUAAAAUAAAUUAUUAACUGAUCAUUUUAUUUCAUAAAAUUCAAACAACAGCAUACGUUCGAACGACAUAGAAAGGAAAGAAAAGAAAAACACUGAAAGAAAAAAAAAAUGGAAAUUAAGCACCAAAAGAAAGCAGAGAAAGUAGCAAUUAAAAAAAACACAUAGAAAACCUCAUGUCGAGGUCUAAGCCCCUCCAUUAUCGCCAUCCUUAACUUCCCAACAGUUGAUGAUUGUAAUAUCUUCGCUCACUUUUCCUUGAACCACAACGCUUUAUAGCAUCCAAAAUUUCAUCAUUGUCUUUGAUUACCUUCCCAAUAACAAUAAAUAAAUUAUCAUAUUCAGGUAUGAAAUUGAAUAUAAUAAAAAAUUUAGAGCGGAACUUAUCUUCUCCAUUAUGGCACAUGGAUAGUGACCAUUUGGUGUGAGGAAGACGGUUGAAACCUUUGGGAUAAUCCAUGUACUAGCUCUACUACCACCUCAUUGAUAUUGAAGUGUUUAUGUGUUUUGUUGUUUUUUUGGGAUAACUGAUGAUAAAUAAAAAUCUCUUUGAAAAAGAUGUUCACCCCUUUAGGUUUCGCACCAAAAUGAAUGUCAUUUCCCUCCAAUUGCCUCCCCUUGACACUUUUAUAAUUUUUGUUCCCUUAUAAUGGAGCGGAUAAC